GAAAUGCGAUACGUAGUGUGAAUUGCAGAAUUCAGUGAACCAUCGAAUCUUUGAACGCACCUUGCGGCCGCCGGUAAUCCGGCGGCCAUGCCCGUCCGAGCGUCGUUUCGACCCUCGGGGCCCGCCUUUCCCUCCGGGGGAGGACGGGCCCCGGCCUUGGGCCAGCGCCAUCUCGUCCCCACCCUCACCGGGCGGGGGCGCGGCGCGGCCCGCAGACCAGCGGCGGCAGCACCGGCGACGUCCCCUGCGCAGUAGCUUAUACAACUCGCAUUGGUCUCCCGGCGCGGCUCGCCUCGCAACCAAAAAAACUUCUAAAGGUCGACCUCGGAUCGGGUAGGGAUACCCGCUAAACUUAA
rnacentral:misc_RNA from 1 species